GCAUAUCAAUAAGCGGAGGAAAAGAAACCAACAGGGAUUGCCUCAGUAACGGCGAGUGAAGCGGCAAGAGCUCAAAUUUGAAAGCUGGCUCCUUCGGGGUCCGCAUUGUAAUUUGCAGAGGAUGCUUCGGGAGUGGCCCCCAUCUAAGUGCCCUGGAACGGGCCGUCAUAGAGGGUGAGAAUCCCGUCUGGGAUGGGGUGUCCACGCCCGUGUGAAGCUCCUUCGACGAGUCGAGUUGUUUGGGAAUGCAGCUCUAAAUGGGUGGUAAAUUUCAUCUAAAGCUAAAUACUGGCCGGAGACCGAUAGCGCACAAGUAGAGUGAUCGAAAGAUGAAAAGCACUUUGAAAAGAGAGUUAAACAGCACGUGAAAUUGUUGAAAGGGAAGCGCUUGCGACCAGACUCGCCCACGGGGUUCAGCCGGCAUUCGUGCCGGUGUACUUCCCCGCGGGCGGGCCAGCGUCGGUUUGGGCGGCCGGUCAAAGGCCCUCGGAAUGUAACGCCCCCCGGGGCGUCUUAUAGCCGAGGGUGCCAUGCGGCCAGCCCGGACCGAGGAACGCGCUUCGGCUCGGACGCUGGCAUAAUGGUCGUAAGCGACCCGUCUUGAAACACGGACC
rnacentral:rRNA from 2 species